rnacentral:lncRNA from 7 species
UCCAGAGGACUUCUGUAAGCAGCUGCUGCCCUGAUUUAGGCCUGCUGGCUGCUCCUGAGGCAGCAAGGAGCUCGCUACUGCUGAGCAGGAGACGUGCACUGCUUCCCUGCAGGCUGCACCUGUGAACAUGGGAGUGCAACUCAGUAAGGAGCCCUUCAUUGUGGUUUACAAAAAAACCUCCAAGAGGGUGCAGAAAGAAGUUCCAGAGGCUGCUGCGACACAUCCUUCAAAGUCUGAGGACUUCCAGGAUGCUGCCAAAGAGCCGGCCAAGGGAACCAGUCAGCACUGCCAGGCUUCUCCAGAUGAGAGAACAAGACUGUGAAAGUGAUCAAGAGCAAAUCCUCUGUGCAGGAGGGAUGGGGAGGAAACUGCUUAUAAGAACUGCCCUUCUGUACAUUGCAUCAUGGACUGGCCAUAACUGUAAUAAGGUGGAAAUGCCUUGCUCUCUAAUUGAGGUUCAGCCUGUUUUGAAUUUCACACUUGAAAAGGAAACUGAGAUGUUUGCAACAUGAUUCUUCAAAGCAUUUCUAAACGUGUGCUCUCUCCCCUCUGAAGUUUCACUUGGGUUGAAAGCAGCUUCAUUAUUUUUUCAUCUUCUCUCACUUAUGAUGCUGUUGUCUCAAGCUGUUUGAUCUAUCUUUCUUUUUGCUAACCCCAUUUCUACUCAGUCCAGUACAGAUUAAGGUGGGGGGAUGUGCUUUAAGGUCUCUGGAGCAAAAAACAUCUUUUUCACAUCGUGUUUAUGGUCUGAAGACAUGGUCACCUUUUACUGCUGCCUUUUUCCUUCAGUCAGUGUAGGCUUCCAAGCAUGUGGUGCUCAAUGUGAGUUAUAGCCACACUCAGCUGUCCUGCAUGCCUGUACGGAAUGCUUCUCUUCUAGAGUGCAUUGCUAUAAUGAGGAAUAUAGAUAGCAUAACAAAACCAGGGCAGUUCUCUAGAUGAUAGGAUUUAUUACCUGCUAGCUCAGUCUUAAGUGAGCUCGUUUUGCUUACCUGUGUUGAUAUGAACUACAUUUGAUAUAAAAUGCAGAAUCCUGUUCCCUAUUAUCAUGAAUAGAUAGCUCAAGUGCUAAGUUAAUGACAGGCAGACAGGUCAAGCCCAGGCCAAGGUUAGCAGUGGGACUUGAUGAGCAGCUACAAAGAAAGAAAUAGCUCCAUUUCUUUGGCAGGCUCUGGGAUGCUACGGUAUUAAUUUCAGUACACAUCUACACGCUGAAUGAAGAGGCUGAGAAAUGGUUUGGGCACUGGGAGCUCAUCAUUACACUGCAUCCUCUUCACAAUGCCCACGGGCAACCUGGUGGAUCCCCAUAUAGGGGGAUUCAGCUGCAGUUCACUGGUAGGUGACUGGGACCUGCUUGGGGAUAUCAAAUCCAUCUGUAGCUGUAAGGUGCUGUUGUAGCAGAUCUGCUUUCAGGUGGUAGCAAGCCUGUAUUUUACCAGGUCUUGACAGUGGGCAAAGCAGAGUAUAAAUACUUCUCAGCCAGUAAGCUGGGCUGUGCACCUCUUGUUCCCUAUGGCCAGCUGUGGAACAACUUUGGUUUUGUAGCUGUAAGAGCAGAGUGGGCCUGUGAGUGCUCUGACACGUGCAUGCAUGCCUUCAAAGUUGGUCUGUCGAGUCAAAUAAGUAAGCUUUUGCAAGAGAAGUGUAACAGCCUGUCAGAUAGUAUGUCUGCAUGCUUUUCUUCUAAUGCUGUAAAUGCAAAAGUACCCACAGAGGCUAACACAAAAUAAGGCUUCUCAUCUGUUUCUUUUCCUUUUCCUGUUCUAAUGUGCUUUGUCAAGAGUCAUAAACCAACGUUAUUCAAAUAAAAUGUUACAAGCACCAAUCUAAGAAUACUUUUAAGUGGUAUUAAAUAGCCUUUUGUGUGAUACAGAAGGGAAUGGUGUAAUGGAACUAAUACGGACACACGAAGUACUGCAUGAAGCUUUGGGGAUGGGGUUUGUAGCUUGUCUUGAUGUAUGUUGAAGUACUGGAGCAGUAAUACUGAACUGCUUUGCCUUGUGCUUAUCUUCUGCUGGAGGAUGUGGAGCUGUUCUCUUUGAUAUGAGUGGUUUAUAUUUCCUGUGGCACCUGCUAAUAAAACAAUGAAGGGGAAAUGUAAACUCCUACUGAUAUAUUGCUGUGAUUAAGGACCUAUCAGAAAGAUCUCAAAGCCUGUUAAAGCAAUCUUGAUCUUACAGGAGGUGAGUUCACAUGCUGUUAUUUACCCUACAAAGGGAAAGUCCAGGCUUUAUCUCAGAAACAUUUGUGCUAUUCAGCCUUGUGUAACAAAACGUAAAUAAACACAAUCUUUCAC